AGAACUUUGAAGAGAGAGUUCAAGAGUACGUGAAACUGAGUUGACUGAAAUUGGACGAGACCGAAAAGUCCGAAGGGGGACAUUCAGGUGUACCGCUUGCCGGAGCCCAUGCGGCGAAGUUGGCCUCGUCUCUCGCCCUCCGGGGUUGUGAGCCUGGUCUCGGAACCGUGUGCGCGUGCGUCCGGUGCGGAGCUCUGCACUUGUCCCCUAGUAGGAGGUCGCGACCCGUUGGGUGGUCGGCUUGUGGCCCCAGGGUGGUAGCACGGCGGCUCGGAAACGCGCCGUCGAACCCCAGGUGUGUCAGUCAGCCCCCGACGGUAGCAUAAAACUAAGGUGACGGGACCGCUCUUCGGAGCGUUCUGCCUCGUGCGGGACAGGUCCUUGAACCGGUCGGCGGCUUUAUUGUUUUUGGUACUCGCCCGCCCCGUCUUG
rnacentral:rRNA from 1 species